rnacentral:rRNA from 1 species
AGUAAAUAGAUACCCGGGUAGUCCACGCCGUAAACGAUGAGUACUAGGUGUAGGAGGUAUCGACUCCUUCUGUGCCGCAGUUAAACACAAUAAGUACUCCGCCUGGGAAGUACGGUCGCAAGAUUAAAACUCAAAGGAAUUGACGGGGGCCCGCACAAGCAGCGGAGCAUGUGGUUUAAAUUCGAAGCAACGCGAAGAACCUUACCUAGACUUGACAUCUCCUGAAUAGUGUAGAGAUACAUGAAGCCCUUCGGGGCGAGGAAGACAGGUGGUGCAUGGUUGUCGUCAGCUCGUGUCGUGAGAUGUUGGGUUAAGUCCCGCAACGAGCGCAACCCUUAUUACUAGUUGCUACCA